UCCGCCUUGGAGGCGGCAGUCUCCCGUGAAAAAACAACACAGGAUGAGGGUUGCGCUCGUUCGCUGACUUAACAGUACACCUCAAGGCACGAGCUGACGACAACCGUGCAGCGCCUGUCUUUUGGUUCCUUGCGGCACUCCGACCUUUCGGCCGGAUUCCAAAGAUGUCAAGCCUGGGUGAGGUUCUCCGUUUACCAUCGAAUUAAACCCCAUGUUCCACCGCUUGUGUGGGUCCCCGUCUAUUCCUUUGAGUUUUAGCCUUGCGGCCGUACUUCCCAGGCGGCGGGCUUACCGCGUUAGCUUGGGCACAGGAUCAAUUGAAAAAUCCUACACCGAGCCCGCAUCGUUUAGGGCGUGGACUA
rnacentral:misc_RNA from 1 species